rnacentral:rRNA from 1 species
GGGUGCGAUCAUGCCAGCACUUAUGCACCAGAUCCCAUCAGAACUCCGCAGUUAAGCUUGCUUGGGCGACAGUAGUACUAGGAUGGGUGAUCUCCCGGGAAAUCCUCGUGUUGCACACC